AUUAAGCCAUGCACGUCUAAGAAUGACAAGUUCAUAUCUUGUAAUCUGCGAACGGCUCAUUAAAUCACUUUUAAUCCAUCCGGUUAUGAACUUUACAUGGAUAACUCUUUGUAAAUCAAGGGCUAAUACAUACUAAAAUUGGGGACUUUUGGGAACCCAUGUAUUUAUUAGAUUCAGAUAUCUUCCCGUGGCUUGCCACGGUUUAAAAGAUGACCCACAAUAACUGGCGAAUCGUAGGAGUAGUCUUACGAUGUUCCGGACGAAAUUGUGCCCUAUCAAGUUUCGAUGGUAGUGUAGAGGACUACCAUGCUAGUAACGGGUACGGGGAAUUAGGGUUCGGUUCCGGAGAGGGCGCCUGAGAAAUGGCGACCACUUCUAAGGAAGGCAGCAGGCGCGUAAAUUACCCAAUCGCAAUUCGCGGAGGUAGUGACAAGAAAUAACAAUACGGAAAUCCAAUGGAUUACUGUAAUUGGAAUGAGAACAAUUUAAAACACUUAACGAGUAACAAUUGGAGGGCAAGUCUGGUGCCAGCAGCCGCGGUAAUUCCAGCUCCAAGAGCGUAUAUUAAUGUUGCUGCAGUUAAAACGCUCGUAGUUGGAUCUUGGAGAAUGGUUUGAGCUCUGUCCGCCUGAAGGCGUGUAUGGACUCUACCUCUCUAUAAUUUGGUGACAACGUACUUGAGACCUUAAGUGGUAUUCAAGUCUAGAGGAGGGUGUAAAAGCUCAAGUCUAGGGGUUUGUUUGGUAUAUGGAGGUGGCAACAUUUCGGUGUUGCUGUUUCCUAAUCAGACAGGAUCAAUGUUUCACCUAUUUUACUUUGAAAAAAAUAGAGUGCUCAAAGCAGGCCUUAUGGCCGUUGAAUACAUUAGCAUGGGAUAAUAGAAUAUGAAGUUGGUGUAUUUUUGUUGGUAUCUAUACGCUAAUUUAAUGAUUAAAAGGGAACGUCGGGGCAGUUUGUAUUGUCACGUCAGAGGUGAAAUUCUUGGAUUGUGACAAGACAAACUACUGCGAAAGCAAUCUGCUAGGAGUUUUCCAUUAAUCAAGAACGAAAGUUGGGGGAUCGAAGACGAUCAGAUACCGUCGUAGUCUCAACCAUAAACGAUGCCGACUUAGGAUUGGAGAGUGUUUAUUUCUAAUGACUUCCCCAGCACUAUACUGAGAAAUCACAAGUCUUUGGGUUCCGGGGGGAGUAUGGUCGCAAGGCUGAAACUUAAAGGAAUUGACGGAAGGGCACCACCAGGCGUGGAGCCUGCGGCUUAAUUUGACUCAACACGGGGAAACUUACCAGGUCCGGACAACGUUAGGAUUGACAGAUUGAUAGCUCUUUCUUGAUUCGUUGGGUGGUGGUGCAUGGCCGUUCUUAGUUGGUGGUGUGAAUUGUCUGGUUGAUUCCGUUAACGAACGAGACCUUUAUCCUUAAAUAGUCACGGGAAGGCUAGUACGUCAAGGCCACAGGCGAACCAAUUGCCAGAAGGACUAGUUUCCCUGGUGGUUGCCGAUUUGUCUGGGUUGUACUUUUUUCUGGAAGAACUUCUUAAGGAGACUAUACAUGACAAGUGUAUGGAAGUUGGAGGCAAAAACAGGUCUGUGAUGCCCUUCGAUGUUCUGGGCCGCACGCGCGCUACACUGAAAUUAUCAUCGAGUUUACAACCUUGUUCGAAAGGACUGGGUAAUCUUAUGAAACAAUUUCGUGAUAGGGAUAGAUGAUUGCAAUUAUUUGUCUUGAACGAGGAAUGCCUAGUAGGGGCGCUUCAUCAGAGCGUCCCGACUUCGUCCCUGCCCUUUGUACACACCGCCCGUCGCUCCUACCGAUUGGAUGGUCCGGUGAAGAUUUCGGAUCGAGAGUUUAUUCGUGCAGGGU
rnacentral:rRNA from 1 species